AGUUCACAGACUAUGUGAAGACAGGCUCCCUAUUGUACGUACGGAGUUGAAGAUAUAGUCGGUCUCCCCUAUAAGUAGGAUGAGAGAAACGUUGUACACACCGCCCGUCGCUACUACCGAUUGAAUGGCUCAGUGAGGCCUUGGGACUGGCUCAGAGAGGUUGGCAACGACCACUCAGAGCCGGAAACUCGAUCAAACUUGGUCAUUUAGAGGAAGUAAAAGUCGUAACAAGG
rnacentral:rRNA from 1 species